CCUACGGGCGGCAGCAGUGGGGAAUAUUGCACAAUGGGGGAAACCCUGAUGCAGCGACGCCGCGUGAGUGAAGGAGUAUUUCGGUACGUAAAGCUCUAUCAGCAGGGAAGAAAAUGACGGUACCUGACUAAGAAGCCCCGGCUAACUACGUGCCAGCAGCCGCGGUAAUACGUAGGGGGCAAGCGUUAUCCGGAUUUACUGGGUGUAAAGGGAGCGUAGACGGCAGCGCAAGGCUGGAGUGAAAUCCCAUGGCUUAACCAUGGAACUGCUUGGGAAACUGUGCAGCUAGAGUGCAGGAGAGGUAAGCGGAAUUCCUAGUGUAGCGGUGAAAUGCGUAGAUAUUAGGAGGAACACCAGUGGCGAAGGCGGCUUACUGGACUGUAACUGACGUUGAGGCUCGAAAGCGUGGGGAGCAAACAGGAUUAGAUACCCUUGUAGUC
rnacentral:rRNA from 1 species